AUGGUUGCUGUGGCGGGUGACGUGGUAAAGCCUUCCGUGUCUCUGCUCCCUCCGUCCCCUCUGCAGCUGUCUGAGGAAUCGGCCUCGCUGCUCUGCCUGCUGUCUGGCUACUCUCCACAGGGGGCGCUGGUGAGCUGGACAGUGGACGGCUCAGAGGUGAAGAACGGGGUUCUGACCAGCGCAGAAGAAGAGAAGAACAGCCGUUACAGCCGCAGCAGCACCCUGACCCUCAGCAAAGACCUCUGGGAAAAGGGGGAGGAGUUCAGCUGUAAGGUCUCCCAUAACAACGUCAAUCAUCCAGUCACGUUCAGAAAGAGUCAGUGUGAAGACUAG